ACAAGCCCAGCUUAAAACCCAANGGACUUGACGGUAUCCCACCUAACUAGAGGAGCCUGUUCUAUAAUCGAUGAUCCACGAUAUACCUAACCAUUUCUUGCUNCAGCCUGUAUACCUCCGUCGUAAGCUUACUAUGUGAAUAAAUAUUAGUGAGCUAAAAGGCCCCAAAACGUCAGGUCAAGGUGCAGCUUACGAAAUGGAAGUAAUGGGCUACAAUUUCUAAUAUAGAACAAACGAAAAGCUACAUGAAACAUAGCCAUGAAGGAGGAUUUAGCAGUAAAUAAGAAAUAGAGAGCCUUAUUAAACCCGGCCCUGGGAUGUGUACAAACC
rnacentral:rRNA from 1 species